rnacentral:rRNA from 1 species
GCUAAACGCGAAGAACCUUACCUACCUUUGAAUCCACGGAACCUAGCAGAGAUGUUGGGGUGCCUUCGGGAACCGUGAGACAGGUGCUGCAUGGCUGUCGUCAGCUCGUGUCGUGAGAUGUUGGGUUAAGUCCCGCAACGAGCGCAACCCUUGUCAUUAGUUGCUACGAAAGGGCACUCUAAUGAGACUGCCGGUGACAAACCGGAGGAAGGUGGGGAUGACGUCAAGUCCUCAUGGCCCUUAUAGGUGGGGCUACACACGUCAUACAAUGGCCGGUACAAAGGGCAGCCAACCCGCGAGGGGGAGCUAAUCCCAUAAAGCCGGUCGUAGUCCGGAUCGCAGUCUGCAACUCGACUGCGUGAAGUCGGAAUCGCUAGUAAUCGUGGAUCAGAAUGUCACGGUGAAUACGUUCCCGGGUCUUGUACACACCG